CAACUAAAUACUCUCUCUAAAAUCCGACCCCUAUUGUCUUUCUCGACUCUCAGCUUCAAGCCUUCAGCUCGGCUCUCUCAACAGCCUGUCUUCCUCAUUCAUCACUACAAAAACAACAUGGAAAAGUUUCCUCUCUGAGCCACUCUCCUUCUUUUCUCUUCAUUUCUUGUAAAGAAACCAUCUCAGAAAGUAGCACAGAUAGACGACGCCGUGCUUCAUGCUCUGAGAGACAAAUUGAAGCACCUAAUCAUGGCCAUAGCUGACCACAAGUCACCGUCUGAUAAUAGUAAUAACAACAAGGUCUGGGGAUUUUUCAAGCUGCCGUUUCGAGGAAGCAACCCCAACACGACGCCGUCUUUUUCAUCGUCAACGCAUCUCCACAACCAUAAUAACUCUCAAGUUGAAGGAUCGAAUGCUCAUGCUUCAAAUUCGGUGUCUUCGGUGGCCAGAUCGCUUUUGCCAACGCGGCGUCGUCUUAAACUUGAUCCGGCAACUAAGCUCUACUUUCCUUACGAACCUGGUAAGCAGGUCAGAAGUGCCAUCAAAAUAAAGAAUACUAGCAAAUCCCAUGUGGCUUUCAAGUUUCAAACGACUGCACCAAAAAGCUGUUUCAUGCGUCCUCCAGGGGCUAUUCUUGCCCCUGGAGAAAGUAUAAUAGCAACUGGUAAUUAAGCAAAUGUUCUGGUCAUUUUACUAUGUUUGGGACAAUAUCUAUUUGCUAUCCGAUACUUACAAAAUAUUCUUCUUUAUUUUGAAUGCCAGUAUUCAAGUUUGUUGAGCAACCAGAAAACAAUGAGAAACCCAUUGAACAGAAGAGCAAGGUUAAAUUUAAAAUCAUGAGUCUAAAGGUGAAGGGGAUGAUGGAUUAUGUGCCUGAGCUGGUGCGUCGAUGAUUCCUUUAAUUGCUACUUUGAAAUGAUAUGUGCUGAUAUUUUCAAUCUUGAAGGCAUAUAUUUUUCAAUCUUGAAGGCAUAUAUUUUUACUUUUAGGCCCUGACUGUUUUCAUAUAAUUUCUAAUUUAAGAUAUCUUGAAUUCAUAAAUAACACCAUUUUUCUCGGAAACAAGCCAACAACUAUGACUUCUUAUUAGAUCCUAGUUGAUUGGCACAUGAGGAAAACUUUAGACAUGUUAAGCAUUAUUACAAGUCUUCAUAUUUAUCAUGGUUUGUUUUCAAUCAAAAGACGAUUUCUCCCUACUGUCAUGUUGGCUUAAUGCUAACAAUUAUCAAGUAUGCAUAAGAUUAAGGAGUUGCAUUUUCUAUCAUAGAAAUGUCCUCAACAUUUGCAUGGUUCAUCUUUAAUUGGGCAUACAUCUCAAAUCACUUCUUGCUCUUGUGUGUCUAAAACUAUAUCAUGGGUAUUCAAAUUUUCCUUGAAGAGUUUGUUGCUCAUGCUGUUAGAUGCUUUUUUCCGUUGUAGUUUGAUGAGCAGAAGGAUCAAGUAUCAAUAGAGCAAAUAUUGCGAGUUGUUUUCCUAGAUCCAGAGCGUCCUAGUGCUGCUCUGGAGAAGUUAAAGCGCCAAUUGGCUGAUGCUGAUGCUGCAGUUGAGGCAAGCAAAAAGCCUCCAGAAGAUGCAGGUCCAAGAAUUAUUGGUGAAGGACUUGUGAUAGAUGAAUGGAAAGAGCGAAGGGAAAGAUAUCUUGCUCGACAGCAGGUUGAAGGAGUAGACUCUGUAUAGAGUGACAAUAGUCUUCAAGGUGCCCCCUAUAUGAAGAAGAAAUUUUAUAUAAUUCCACCACUCAGUUUAUUCAUCCAAUAUUUUCUUGUAACUUGAAGGAUGUUUUAUUCAGGGGAUCAUGUAGGAAACGUCAACAUGUUUUAUGUAAAAAAGAAAUGUGAGGUGAAUUUUCUGUGAUUUGAGUUGCUGAAACUUAUCCUGUGACCAUCUGCCUGUAGAUAAUUGUGAUUUUGUUUUGUUUUUGCGUUCUUUCCCUAUUUCGCAAAUCAAACUUGUCUUUAUGGGGUGUAAUGCACGUUAACUGAGCAGUCUUGACAAGUGUUCGCCUGGAGAAAAAGAUAAGUAUUUCACUAUGAUUUAAAUGCCCCGUCUGGCUUUUCCUCUUGACAGCAAAUUAUAAAAUACAUCUGGAGCGUGGAUUUAGGAUCCACUUUUCAUAAUAUCCACAGUUUAUGCGAGGGCUAAAAUUUCGUGCUAAGAAUGCACUUAAUAACUUUCCUUUUUUAACUGUUUUGCAUUUUUUAGGUACCCAAGCCUAUCUCCACUCCAGUCGUUGAUUCGCCAGUCUUGCUUUGACUAGGUGCUACUACCCUUCCAUCUGGUUGAGCUUAUUAAAAGAUACCAUUCUGUUUCUAGUAUCGUAGGAAUGUGUGAUGCCCAGUACAUUACCGGUUAUUCUUUCACAGAAGGAUGCCAGCUAUUGUUCGCGGUUGUCUGGGGCGUUCCUCGGUCCAUGAUAAGAUCUAUAUAGCCUGGUAUUAGCAACCUGAAGAGUGCAGGGAAAUGAACCAAAAAACCUGUUGGCUCUAACUUGGUGCGCCUCAAAUCUUAAGCAUGGAUAUGCUGUGAUCUGCUCCCCUGCGUCCUUUGCUUUUUCCCCUGCCUGUGGUAGCCACACGCCUUUAUAUGUUGAAUAUUAGAUGAGAAACAAAAUAGCUGAUAUAUGGAGUAAAUUUUCCAUGAUUAUCUAGAGCUUCUCAAACUUAAUUCCAUUGCAAUAUGGGCAUGAGACGUGGUAAUUUGAUUACCAUAAUAGAAAUGAAGAGUCAUAAAGUUGCAGACAGUAUAAAAGCAAGAUAGAUUUGAUAGAAUGUUAAUAAAGGAAUAGACAAGCCUUAUGAUGACAAAUUUGGUUCUAUUAUCAUAUUAUUUUUUAGCCGACUCUGGCGUUGCUGCCUUGCUGGUUUUAGCAGGAUUUGCCACGAUCACUUGACGCCAAUA
rnacentral:misc_RNA from 1 species